AGGCUUCAUAGCUGUCUCCAACACAUUUGUACUCACUCCUUUCAGGAUGGGAUACUUUUUUCAAAGAAGCCAAGGGUUGUCAGCAUAACACUGUCUUUUGUAACCUACCUUCAGGAAAUAACUUACGUCUUUUUCUUUCUUACAACAUAUGAGGCUUAUACUAAUGUAGACUUUACUCAGACAGUAAUAUAUUCAUAUAAUCUUUGAAUCAGAGAAGCUGGAAUUGAAUAAUGCUAUUGGAUGGCAUUCAUGUCAAGGAGAAGAAGAUGCCUUGUUCCUACUGAGGUUCCCAUCCUUACAUGCAGACUAGAAAUAAAAGCUUUUCUAAAAACGGCCCGGGGCUAAGAAGUGAAUGCCGUGUCCCCUGAUUUAAAAGAUGUCCUCAUUACCCAAACCAAAAUGGAAGAGGACCCUGCAAGCAGAACUUCUAAUAUCAGUGCCAGACAGAAUAUACUGUGAG